rnacentral:tRNA from 2 species
CGGAAUGUAGCUCAGUUUGGUAUGAGCGCUUGGUUCGGGACCAAGAGGCCGCAGGUUCAAGUCCUGUCAUUCCGA